UAGGUGAACCUGCGGAGGGAUCAUUA
rnacentral:ncRNA from 28 species